GACAGCCUGUCAGCGGCUGCUCUGGAGCCUGGGGCCUGCUCCGUGCGCCCUGUCUGCCCUCCGCGGGCCGUGCUGUCCAGGCUGGCCCGACAGCCUGACUCGAGACACCGGGAUGCCUGUCCACGCCUCCACUCCCGGGCCACUUCCCCGUGGGGCGGGCAGUGGGGCAGGGCGGGGUGGGAAUCUGCUGCAACCAGGGAAGGGAAUUGCCCCCCGGGCACAGAGAGUUUGGAGCCUGGGGUACUGUCACCAACAGCCCAGGACCCCGCAGCUGGGCCCUCCCCUAGAGUCUUCCUGCAGCAGGGCUCUCCUCCCGAAGGGCUGUGAAUGUUCCUCGGAGGUGGGGCUAAGCUAGAGCCCAGAGGUUUGCCCUGGGCACGGAUCCCCCAGGUCACUCGCCUCCCAUGGGCUGCAGUGAAGGAGGCUUUGAAGGGAGGAUGGCCGCCUCCUCCCCUGCAAGGAUAUGAGCCCCAGGGAAGGCAUUCCUGCUCUGGGGAUUGCCUCCCUCCCAGACAUCACAGCCAGCCCUUGCAGAAGCUUGGCCAAGCUGACCACUCUGUCAGUGAUCUCUGCAAGGGAAGCUGAAAGAACAUCCAGCCCCAAUUGUGUUCCCUUUCUGCCUCAGGCUAGGCCAUAUCUAGGCCUAUCAGGGAAGUUGGUCUCUUCAUGAGCCCCCCUGCACAGACGUCUAAAUGUCCAGAGUCCCAACAGAAUAACAAAGGGUUAAAAACCAUCUCCAUAUUGAAGCAGGCCGAGCUGAAGGCUGACUUCUAGGGUGCCCUAGAAUGGUGGAAGCUGCACACACCUGACACCACCUAGCAGAGUUGGCUUCCAGAGGAACCUUUCGGGGCCAUAGGCUUGCAGGCCUACCUGGCCAGGCAGAUGAUCCAAAUCUGCCUGAGAGGCAUGAGGUGAGGAGCUGGUGCUGGAGGGUAUGGUGGCCCUGCCAGGGAGCAUCUGUGGUUCCAGCGGCUGCAGCAAGCAGAAUGGAGGCCUGGGGCUGCAAGACGUUUUGAAGAGACACAGGAAUCAGCAUUUUUGUACAUGAUCUUGGGUGUGUGUGUGUGUGUGUGUGUGUGUGUGUGUGUGUGUUAAACACUGGAGUCAUAAAACUUCAGAUUAAAAGAAAAACUGCAGAACAUAAAACAAAACCCACCUGCAGCUCAGGGCUGGCCUGCAGGCCGCCUGUGACUGGUGCAAUUUCCCACCUGUGCUGCCCGUGACCAUGGUAAGUCUCCACUGCACACCCCACGGACACAGUCUCAGUCUGUGGCUGCAGCCCCGAGUGUCACAGAGGUCCCUCCCCAUUGCCAGGGCUGUCUGACCCUGAGUCUGUGAGCUCCUGUGGGACAGGCGUCAGCUUCUUGACCUGGUUUUCCUUCAUAACUGCUCUCUGAGGGUAGUGGCUGGCCAGAGAUCCUUUGCCGAAUGGAUCCUGGAAUCCAGCCCUGGUCCCUAGGCCUCUCCCCACUAGAGCUACUUGUCAUUGGCAGGCUGGCCACCAGGCCAUGCUCUUCUUCCCUUGACUUUCUGUCCCAGGCCUGGAAGGAAGCAUCCAGAAGACUCCUCCUAGCACCACAGGACCCAGAGAGCAAGACAACAGAGCAGCAGGGUCACACCCUGGCUUGCAGGGCCAGCUUCUGGCAACUGCCACAGGCCUGCCACACUCAGCCAUGAAGAAAGAAGGGAUUUCUUUUCCCACACAGAAACACCCCAAGCAGGAACAGAAACAGAUCUUUUGUGCCCACCAAUAUGUGUCUGUCUUGCCCAGCCUGUCAUUGUCCAGGGCUGUGGGUAGUGGAGGAGCCACUGGUUCUUGACUAGUUCUGCAGAAGCCCUGGGUCAAAGGCCUCCGCUGACAGCAUCCAGAAGUGUGUGCUUCUCCAUCCUGGCCACACUCUCAAAUCACUGGCGGAAAGGGCAUGGGAGAACACAGUGAGAAGACAGCAGUCUGAGAGCCCGGAAGAGCGCCCUCACCAGAAACCAAAUGUGUCAGCACCUUGCUCAGGGACUUCCAGCCUCCGGAACUGUGAGGAAACAAAAUGUCUGUUUUGGAGCCGCCCAGGCUGUGGGGUUUUGGUAAGGCAGCCUGAGCAGACUAAUGCAACAGCCUCAACAAAACUGCAAUCGAUGAGAAAAAAACAGUGGGCUUGAAGAAAAAAAUGAAUUCCAGUCAAAAUCUCAACAGUUUCAUUUGGGAGCUUCACUCCUCAGCCAGUGAGACCAGGAACCUACCAGAAGAAAGAAACUCCAAACGCAUCUGAAGGUCGGAAGGAGCAAACUCUGGACACGCUGCUUUUAAGAACUGUAACACCAUGAGGGUCUGCGGCUUCAUUCUUGAAACCAGUGAGAUCAAGAACCCACCAAUUACAAACACAACACCUCAACAACACCUCAUGAGCAGGCCCUUCCUGACGCCCUUGACUCCGGCCUGUCCUGAGGCAUGCAGAUGCCACUCACCUCCAAGUUCUCCAGAACCUCUGGGACACCAAAGACCCUGACCUCGGAGGUGGUGUAGUGGUUGCUCAGAAGGAUUUCAGACUGCUUGGCAUAGAGAUCUGGGCUGAAGGGUACUGGCCAGCUGGCAAAUGACACGGAGUUCAGCCUUGUCCUCACACAGCGAGGGAAGGACGGGGAGGUUUGGAGCUGACAGUCAACAAAUGGGUAAUGGGCGGCCAUUAGUGAAGUGGCAGGAAGUGGGGCAGCACACACAGCGCGAGUUGUUUUGUGUAUGAACGGCCAGGCGACGGUGUCUGAACAUCUUUCCUUAAUUUUGCGAACGGAAACAGGGCACGAUGAACCUGGGAACUCACAAAAAUGAUGAGCAUAGAGCUCUGCGGGGUGCGGUAAGAAGGGGGGAGGGGAUGAAAAUAUCUUUGCAUGGGGUUUUGACUUGUGAGCCAUGCAAGUAUUUUACAUGUUCAAAACCUACAAUUAAGCCCCCAAGGAGGAACAAAAACUCAAACUGUAACUUGUCUUCCUAUCCAUCCACCGUCACCAGACAGCAGCAGCUUAAUGUAGAGGUGGAAUGGGUCACUGCAGCCACAGCACACAGCCACCUGGGGACAUGGCCUUAGAAGGCCAGGGCUCUGCCUUACAGGGAGCGGUGCAUGCUGUGAGCCAGAGACCACCACGUGGUGCUGUCUCCUCCCCAGCAGGGGUCUGCAGCUGGGGGUGCAGGUGGCAGGGGCUCCUCUCAUGCUCUUACCUAGUAACCCUUGCACGGAAUGUUUGCUUCCUGCCCCAGAAACUUUGAGUUCUGCUUGUUUGGAGGUCUUAGUUUCUACGAGGGAAUGCUUCCCCAGAGGAAAUCUGGCAUGGUUCCAGUGCAUUGGAAGAUGAGACUUUCCCCUGGCCAUGUGGGGCUCCCCAGGCCACUGAAGCAAUGGGAGGCAAAAGGGUUUCUCUACUAGCUGGAGAGAGUGAUCCCAGUCACCAAGGCUUUGCUACGCAAUGGGGACAAGAACCCAGGGGCUUCUCUGGUAUAUCCAUACCCAAUGGUAAUGGCUCGUGGGAAAUUCUAGCAGCCAAAAAAGGACAGUUGAAGAAUCAGAGUCCUUAGGAAUGAUGGUUUCAGUCACACCCCACAUAGGAGAAACUUGAGGCCAGGUGCAGUGGAUUCAUGCCCGUAAUCCCGGCACUUCAGGAGGCCAAGGUGGGCAGAUCACUUGAGCCCAGGAGUUCAAGGUUACAGUGAGCCAUGAUUUUGCCACUGCACUUCAGCCUGGGUGACGGUUUCUCUAUAAAACCAAUUUUAAAGAAACUUGACCGGCUUAGGUCUGUAUGAGGGCAGGGGACAAUGGAAUGGGUUUGGGAAGAAGGAAGCCACAGACAUUACCCACAGCUGUGCCUUCCAUUAGCAAAGGGAGGGCUGCAGUAGCUUUACUCACUUUCACUUUCCCGGUUACACACGUGUUAGUUGGUUUGUGCUAUUUCCUUCUUUCCAUUUUUCACUUUCUAUACAGGUGUCGAUAGGUAACGUUACAAUUUAGUCUUCAGGGAACAGAAUAUUCAGCAGCGCUGUGAUGGAAUCUGAGGAGUCACUCAGAGCCCCGCCCCCCCACCACCCCAUACACAGUGACUGAGGGACUGUGCCUCAUUGUGGGCAAGGGGUGAGAAAACCCCUUCGUGAUCUGAAGUGUGGCUGUAUCUUGGGAGGUGGAAACACAAGGCUGCUUGCUUGUUCUGAAUUUCACAUGUGCGUGGAAGGUGCAUGUGGAAGCUGAGUGUCAUAUGGUAGCUGGGUUAGAGCCUUUUUGUCUCUCAGCUCCAAAGCCACUGUUCACCGCCUUGCUCUGUGAUCAUGGCAUUGGACUUUGUCAAUGUUCUCCUCUGCCAGUUAGCAGAGGUGACACUGGGGGUGCUACGGGAAGAAGGGGCAUCCCUCCUGGUUGCACUGGGCAGCGCUCUCUUCCCAUCUGCAGCUGCCGUGGGCAAGCAGGGUUCCAUGGGGGUGACUUCCCACAUGCAAUGCCCUGUCUGCCAGCACCCGAGGGACGUCCUGCUUGCCAGUCCUGUCUCACAUUCCCAUGCCUGCCAGCCCCAGCCUGCUGGCUGCAGCAACUGCCAUCUGGGGCAUCUGACACGGUCUCCGCCAUUCCAAGGGCUGCUUCCACUCCUCCAGUGAGAGCGAGCCUCGGGACCAGAGGAGCGGCCCAAACAACCCUGAGUGUGAUGAGAAACCAUUGUUACCGUGGCUCUAAGCUAGGAAGUUUUGCGGUGUUUGGCUUUGUAGCAAAAGGUAACUGACACCCCUUUUAUUUAGGGGUCUGCCGUUUCUCCAGUGAUUUGUCACGCCAUCUUCACUGUAUCCUAAGUUUCCAUUUUAUGGAGUCUGUUUCUGGACUUUCCAUUCUGUUCAGCUCGUCUGAAUCCGCACAUACCAAUACUGCAGGUUUAAUGACAGAAGCUUUCUAGUGUGCUGCAGUGAUGUCUGGAUGUACCACUAACUCUAAAAACAAACAAAAAAGACUGAUUUUCCUGGAGAGUCUUGCCUUGUCAAAACUGGAAUUGAAAAUAAUCUUGACUAGCUCCAUUUUUUUAAAAAAACUGAGAAGUAUUGACAUCUGUAUGUUAAAUUGUGUUAUCUUAAAACUCGGUAUAUUUCUCAGUGUUUUAAUCUUUUCCUCACUUGUCAUUAUUUUUUGAAGUUAUUCCUAGUUAUCUUUUUCCUUUUUUUGAGACAUGG